UACGUAGGGUGCAAGCGUUAAUCGGAAUUACUGGGCGUAAAGCGUGCGCAGGCGGUUCGCUAAGACCGAUGUGAAAUCCCCGGGCUUAACCUCGGGAACUGCAUUGGUGACUGGCGGGCUAGAGUAUGGCAGAGGGGGUAGGAAUUCCACGGUGUAGCAGUGAAAUGCGUAGAGAUGUGGAGGAACACCGAUGGCGAAGGCAGCCUCCUGGGCCAGCACUGACGCUCAUGCACGAAAGCGUGGGGAGCAAACAGG
rnacentral:rRNA from 1 species